UGCGUGAGCACACUUUAUUGUUAAGGGUGCUCUUUCUUCAUUUAAAAGCAGACAAUGACCAGUCUCCGUCAAACUCUAUAACCCUGUGAAAUCA
ensembl:lncRNA